UACGUAGGGGGCAAGCGUUGUCCGGAAUCAUUGGGCGUAAAGAGCGUGUAGGCGGCCUGGUAAGUCCGCUGUGAAAGUCCAGGGCUCAACCCUGGAAUGCCGGUGGAAACUGUCAGGCUCGAGUCCGGAAGAGGCGAGUGGAACUCCUGGUGUAGCGGUGGAAUGCGCAGAUAUCAGGAAGAACACCAACGGCGAAGGCAGCUCGCUGGGACGGUACUGACGCUGAGACGCGAAAGCGUGGGGAGCGAACAGG
rnacentral:rRNA from 1 species